AAUCAACGCUGGCGGCGUGCCUCAGACAUGCAAGUCGAACGAUUAAAGCUCUCUUCGGAGAGUGUAUAGAGUGGCGCACGGGUGAGUAACACGUAAGUAAUCUACCUUCGAGUGGGGAAUAACGUCCGGAAACGGACGCUAAUACCGCAUAAUGCAGCGGCAUCGCAAGAUGACAGUUGUUAAAGAUUUAUCGCUUGAAGAGGAGCUUGCGGCAGAUUAGCGUAGUUGGUAAGGU
rnacentral:rRNA from 1 species